GCUCUCGUGUUUCAUAACUGUAAUUUUUCAAAGACAGAUGUGGCUACGUUGUACGGUGUUUCGAAGCUAAAACUAUAAAAGAAUUUUCGUGAAAUCGUUACUAAUUGUCGCUACAUUUCACCAUUAUUUUUUUAUUAUAACGAUAUUUGAAUACUGAGGCAAAAUUUGUACUUAAAGUGUACGUACAAUUCCAAGACAUAAUAUAACCUAUAAAGUGAUGGUUGAAUUGACGUGUAUGUAAAUGCAUUAUAACGACUAACAUUAAUAGACAUUGAUUAUAUAUUUCUCUGUAGUGUCGAUAUUUUUUAAAUUGAAACGAUGUUUACAAAUUAGUUUACGAUAUUUAAGUGGAGGACAACAUAAUCUGUAAGAAGUAUGUUCGCUAAUAUUCGACAGAGGCUACUGUUUAAUACAGUGGUCAAAUAUGGCAACUACAAGAGAUACAGUACAUCAGCAAUCAGCGAAGUUAAGAAUGAAACCGAAGUUGCGGUAGAACCGAUAUACCCACCCAUUCAAGAUCUUGUAAGCUGGAAAGCCAAGUGGAAAAGAAAGAGACAAACUUGGCAUGACAAAAUCAAGGGCUUAGAAAUCAUGGAGGAGAAGCUAUUUGAGAUCAACAUGCCAGGUUAUUAUGGCUGGAAGUCGCUGAUCCUACAGGAACAUA